rnacentral:rRNA from 2 species
GAGGGGUUAAGGCUCCCAGUAGACGACUGGGUUGAUAGGCCAGAUGUGGAAGCCCGGUAACGGGUGGAGCUGACUGGUACUAAUAGGCCGAGGGCUUGUCUA